GCCUGGGUGGCUCAGUCGGUUGAGCGUCCAACUCCGGCUUCGGUUCGUGGGUUCAAGCCCCACGUCAGGCU
rnacentral:tRNA from 1 species